GACGAACGCUGGCGGCGUGCUUAACACAUGCAAGUCGAGCGGAAAGGCCCUGCUUUUGUGGGGUGCUCGAGUGGCGAACGGGUGAGUAACACGUGAGUAACCUGCCCUUGACUUUGGGAUAACUUCAGGAAACUGGGGCUAAUACCGGAUAGGAGCUCCUGCCGCAUGGUGGGGGUUGGAAAGUUUCGGCGGUUGGGGAUGGACUCGCGGCUUAUCAGCUUGUUGGUGGGGUAGUGGCUUACCAAGGCUUUGACGGGUAGCCGGCCUGAGAGGGUGACCGGCCACAUUGGGACUGAGAUACGGCGCAGAGUCGUACGGGAGGCAGCGGUGGGGAAUAUUGCACAGUGGGCGGAAGCCUGAGGCAGCAACGCCGCGUGCGGGAUGACGGCCUUCGGGUUGUAAACCGCUUUCGCCUGUGACGAAGCGUGAGUGACGGUAAUGGGUAAAGAAGCACCGGCUAACUACGUG
rnacentral:rRNA from 1 species